UUUGAGGUGACAGAUAUAUGUGCCAGAUUUAAAACCUGUUUAUGGUUAAACCCCUCAAAA
rnacentral:tRNA from 1 species